AAUAUUGCACAAUGGGCGCAAGCCUGAUGCAGCCAUGCCGCGUGUAUGAAGUAAGGCCUUCGGGUUGUAAAGUACUUUCAGCAGUGAGGAAGGUGGGUAUGUUAAUAGCAUAUUCAUUUGACGUUAGCUGCAGAAGAAGCACCGGCUAACUCCGUGCCAGCAGCCGCGGUAAUACGGAGGGUGCGAGCGUUAAUCGGAAUUACUGGGCGUAAAGCGCAUGCAGGUGGUUUGUUAAGUCAGAUGUGAAAGCCCGGGGCUCAACCUCGGAAUUGCAUUUGAAACUGGCAAACUAGAGUACUGUAGAGGGGGUAGAAUUUCAGGUGUAGCGGUGAAAUGCGUAGAGAUCUGAAGGAAUACCGGUGGCGAAGGCGGCCCCCUGGACAGAUACUGACACUCAGAUGCGAAAGCGUGGGGAGCAAACAGGAUUAGAUACCCUGGUAG
rnacentral:rRNA from 1 species